AGGUUCUUGUGCAAGGUUUAUCACCACAGCAUUUGAGCAGCUUCCAGUGUAUAAGUGACUUAGUAGCAUGUAUUUGUGUGAGGCUUUUUCUGCAUGAAAGGAGGCAUCUCUACAUGGCACACCUGACUUCUACUGAUAUCAAGAAGGACUCAAGAGCUCUGGAGAAUGCAUUACCCAUGCCACCAAGGAAAGUUGAUAUCAAAAUUAGCUCCUUUGCUGCACUCAGGGGCUGUGAUUAAUUGCUUGUUAGCAAGAUGUUCAAAGUACCACGAUUUAUGAGAGUUUGAUCAGGCAGAUUAUGGAAUAUAACAUUUCAAUAAAUUCAUGGUGACUAUAGAUAUAUGUUACAAUGAUAAAUAGGUCAAGCUACUAUAGACAUUUUAGAUCCAAUAAAGUUAUUUUUAGAAUGUG